rnacentral:misc_RNA from 1 species
GAUGAAGAACGCAGCGAAAUGCGAUAAGUAAUGUGAAUUGCAGAAUUCCGUGAAUCAUCAAAUCUUUGAACGCACAUUGCGCCCCCUGGCAUUCCGGGGGGCAUGCCUGUCCGAGCGUCAUUUCUGCCCUCCAGCCCGGCUGGGUGUUGGGCGCUGUCCCCCCGGGGACACGCCCCAAAGGCAGUGGCGGCGCCGCGUCGGGUCCUCGAGCGUAUGGGGCUUUGUCACCCGCUCGGGACGGACUCGUCGGCGCUGGUCUUCCUCCAGGCGACCCUUCGGGGCUCGUCUUCCUUCGGUUGACCUCGGAUCAGGUAGGGUUACCCGCUGAACUUAAGCAUAUCAAUAAGCGGAGGA